UUUUUUUCUUCUUCUUCGUUUAGUUAUGCGUGUGUG
rnacentral:sRNA from 1 species